UUUUUUUUUUUUUUUUUUUUUUUGGAUAGGACACCAAAGCAGUCAUAGACCAAACAUAUGCAGGCAUCAAAAGAAAAAAAUGUUAAACUGGAAUUCAUCAAAUUAAAAACUUCUGUACAUGGGAGGACACAUCAACAGAGAAGAAAACCCACAGGGUGAGAGGAAAUAUUUGCAAAUCAUGGAUUGGAUAAGGGAUUGAUAUCAAGAAUAAAUAAAGAGCUGCUAAAACUCAACAGUGGAAAACAAUCCAAUUCAAAAAUGGUUGAAGGGCUUCAAUGGGUACACAGUGAUCAAUAGGCAUGUGAAAGGAUGCUCAAUUUAGGGAAAUGCAAAUCAAAACCACAGCAGGAUACCACUUCACACCAUGUAUGACUAUUACCAAAGCAAGUGUUGGUUAAGAUGUGGGGGAAAUGGACCUCUUGUGCACUGUAGGUGGGAAUGUAACAUGGCGCAGCAGCUGUGGGAACCAGUAGGGUUGUUCCUCAAAAAACUGACUAUAGAAUUAUAUUAUGACCCAGCUAUUCCACUGCUGGGUAGAUACCCAAAAGAAUUGGAAGUGGGGUUUCACCAUGUUCAGAGCAGCAUUACUCAUAAUACCUGAAAGGUGGAAACAAAUCAAGUGUCCAACAAUGGAUGAAUGGAUAAAACAAAAUGUGGUCUAUCCAUACGAUAGAAUAUUACUCUUCCCUGAAAAAGAAAGAAACUCUGACACGUCCUGCAGCAUGGAUAAAUCUUGAGGACAUCAUAAAAGUGAAAUAAACCAGUCACAAAAGGACAAGCACUGUAUGACUUCACUUGUACGAGGUCCCUAGAGUCGUCAGAACCGCAGAGACACUAAGCAGCAUGGGGCUGCCAGAUGUGGAGGAGGGGAGUGGGGAGUUAGUGUGUAACGGGGACAGAAUUUCAGUCUGGGACGAUGGAAAAGUUCUGGAGAUGGGCGGUGGGGUGGUCGCACAGUGUAUGUACUCAGUGAAUGUACUCAUGCCCCUGAACUUCAUGCUUACAAAUGGUUACAGUGGUAAAUUUUAUGUUAUAUGGAUUUUACCACCAUAGAAAAAGUAAAUAAAAAUACAAAUAAAAAAUGAAAAGCCCAUGUGAAUACAUUAUUUGGACCCAGGGAACUGGACCCCUCAUGCAGAGCAUGAUAGAAGCAUGAUAGAGCAUGAUAGAAGCUCCUGGCAGGCACGGCAGGAGGGCGGCUAUGGAUAUACUAAUUGUGCUGGAUAGUGAUGAGGCUGAUGACGGGGUGCCAGGAUUGAGUGGACUGGAACCCUGAUUUCACUAGAUGGAGUGGGCUCUGGUUUUCCCAGGAGAGUAUGGCAUCUCCGUUGGCCUCUGUCAGCACACAGGGCUAUCCCACCCUGCCACCUGAGCUGAGCAUCACCUCCUGGGCUCUCGGCGGCUCCGCCAGGGAAAUGGCCAAGGACCGGGUGGGGGCGAAGGACAGACCCCAGCUGCUCUCCACUCCUCCAGGAAGGCUUUGGGAACUCUUUGUGGCCACGGUGGCAUGCUCCUUGGAAGGCAUUCCUUUGGCACAGGGACAGGGCAAGAACGUAAUGCACACAGGCCUGCUGCCAACCGCUCCAUCUCCAGGAGAAAGGUGCACCCGGGGCUGGCUGGGCAGUCUGCAGCGCCAAUGACCUUCAGGCCCCAAGAGACUGGGCGAGGACUUUCUGUCCCCCCCCACCCCCGUCUCUCCAUCCUUCCCUCCCCACCACACUGGAUCCUCAGGACCAGUGUGGUGGCGACCAUCACUGUGCCUGUUUACAGAUGAGCAAGCUGAGGCUUGGUGGGAGGGAGCAAUCUCAGCCCCAAUCUCCCUGACUCCAACUUGGGUUCCUCAUGCCUGGCCUCUCCUGUGAGGAUGAGACACAGGGCAGGUGGGGCGGAGGAGCGAGGGAGGGUCCUGACUCCAGAUCCUAGCUCUAGGGCUCCUACUCUGUGUGCCCUCGGCAGGGGCAGGCGUCUGCCCUCUCUGGGCCCCUGCACCCCUCCCCACGGCCCGGCACGUGGCACACAUUCAAUUAAUGCUAAUUCUUCCUCUUCCCUUCCUGAAGGAGGAGCCACGCAGGGUCUAGAGGGAGGAGGCAAACAUUUAAUUAAGAAAAACUCAGGACACAGCCUGAGAUGGGGCUGCAGAGAGCAAUGAGCAGCGGGAUCUCAGAGCAUCAGAGAGCGAGGGAGGCCGGAGCCAGCAGAGUCAUCUCACGGCAAUUAAGCAGGAUGUAGGAGACCCAUGGGGCUCCCGCCUGCACCCAGCUGCCCCCCGGGGCCCAGCCCAGGCUUCCUUCAAAGCGGCGGCGCCGGGCAGGAUGCAGAGGGUGAAACUGGCCACCUGUGCGGGGCCUCCUGGCAGACGUCAGCCAGGAGUUACGUGCUAGCCUUCCUCUCUGAGAAUUACCUCACCAUGUUAUGGACUAAAUACAGCUCCAGGGAAGCCCAGCCUCAGUGUGGCUUCAACAGAUGGAAACAGAAGGUGGCUCACCUCGCUCCCGCUUACCCCCAGCGCCCUGCCACCCCCAGCCCGUGAACCUCCUGUGGUCCUUUGUCCACCAUCGUCACCACUCGUGAUACAGUGGCUGCCUCCUCAUCUGUGCCUGUCCCAGGGGUCAGCGGGCCACAUCCAGCCCACCGGCUGUUUUGGGGAGUGAGGUCUCAUGGGAACACAGCCACACCCACCGCUGACAUACCAUCGUUGGCUGGGGCAGCCACAGAACUGAGCGGCGAUGAUGGCCUGUAUGGCCCACAAAGCCGAAGAUUGUUACUAUCCGGUCCUUUAUAGAAAGUGUUUGUUGAUGCCGUCCUGUAUCUGUCUCCUUUACUCCUCAUGGCCUCCUGGGAAGCUGAUAUUAUUAUUUUCAUUUCACAGGAGGACCCCCACCAUGGCUGGGAGAGGGGAGGCCAGCCCCGUGGGGAUAGGGCUUCAUCCUGUCCCCAGCUCACACAGCAGGGUAGGGCACGAAACAGCUGCUUGGUGACUGUGUGCUAGUGGGUGGCCAUGACAUGAAUGAACAACCCUACUCGGCGUGGAGUUUGAGGUCACAGGGACACUCCCGGCACCUGUGGGGACAAGGUGCUUGCUGCCCUGGGGACCAAGGCCCUGAGCAGAGCUGGGCACCCAUAACCUGAUGUGCUCUGAGGUGCCACCUGCCCAUGAUGCAGGGUAGCCAGGCCGCAACAGAGCAAGGCCAGUCCCGAGAGGACAACCAGGGGUGGCCAGGGAGGUGCAAACCAACUGGUUUUGCCUCUGGAGGAUGACAAGCUUGGAGCCUGGUUUGCAGCAGUGCUAACUCCCAAAAGCAAAAGGGAGAGAAUGGGACUCAGAGUCCCCGGCCACCAGCAAGUGAGGGCUCCACUCCACGAGAGCUAAAUCAGUGGAGCUCACAGGGGCUUCCUGGCUUUGACAAGGGCAGACAGACCAGGGCCUGCCUUGUGAGCUGGGCAUGUGCAGACCUCCAGAACCGCCCCUGGGCUCAGGGGGCUGUGGAGGCUGCAGAAGGCUGAAAGGGGCUCUCCAUCCAAAUUAAGGUCAUGUCUCUCAAGGCUGGGCAGAAACAAUCCAGGUCAGCCAGGGGCAGGCAAGUGAUCCUCGCUCCUGCCCUGGGUCAGGCCUGCCUGCAGGGUGCUCACCUUCCAGUGAAGGAGAGGACAGUAAACCAAACCUGGUCUAUAGUGACUCGCACUGUGGAUGGCAAUACCAUCUCGGGGGGGAAAGGGUCAAAUACAGGCUGCUCAGAGAAGGCUUCCAGGAGACGAAACCAUGCGAAGACUUGGAGGUGAGGAGCAAUGCAGGUGUCUGGGGGAAGACUGAACCAGGCAGAAGGAGCUGCCAGUGCAAAGGCCCUGGGGCAGGAGUAUGCCUGGAAUCCCAUGAAUGACAGGGAGCCUGGGGAGAGCCGAAGACAGAGAUAUGACAGGGCAGCUGAUCAGGACCAUGGGGGUUAGGGGAGGACGCUGUCUCUGUGAGCAAGGAGGGAGCCAUGGCAGGGUGUUGAGCACAGGAGUGGCUUGCACUAUUUGGAUCCCUCCGGCUGUCCAG
rnacentral:lncRNA from 1 species